rnacentral:rRNA from 1 species
CGGCCGCAGUACACUGACUGUGCUAAGGUAGCAUAAUAAUUUGUCUUAUAAUUAAAGACUGGUAUGAAAGGGGCCAUGAGGCUAAGCUGUCUUCCUUAAUUUUUUAGAAUUUAAUAAAGGGGUGAAAAUUCCCUAAGUGCUCAAAUAGACGAGAAGACCCUAAGAGUUAUAAAGAUAAAGGCUAAAAGGCUUUUAACUUUUUGUUGGGGCAACAGACUUCAAUAAACUGAGGAACUUAACUAAAAUAUAACAAGUAUAUUAAGGAUGAUUUUAAUUACUCUAGGGAUAACAGCAUAAUUUUAUUUUAAGUUUGUGACCUCGAUGUUGGACUAGGGUCUUAUUAAGUUAGACACUUCAUAAGCUUGUUCUGU